CUCGAUUCCUACUUUAUUAUUUUCUGGAGAAUGUGUUAUGUCACACAAAAUAAGCUUGAAAUUGUACAAGUUAUGAAAGAAGUGAAAAUGGAGUUAUAUAUAAGAGUAACAUUAGGGCAUGAUUUCAGUUUUGCUGGCCUUAUCGAACCCGAGCAUGUCUUGCAAAUUGAAGAAUUUGGGAGCGAC